rnacentral:misc_RNA from 1 species
GAAAUGCGAUAAGUAAUGUGAAUUGCAGAAUUCCGUGAAUCAUCGAAUCUUUGAACGCACAUUGCGCCCUCUGGUAUUCCGGGGGGCAUGCCUGUCCGAGCGUCAUUGCACACCCUCAAGCGCGGCUUGUGUGUUGGGCCCCCGCGUCCUUGCCAUUUAAAGGACGGGCCCGAAAGGCAGUGGCGGCGUCGCGGUUAUCCGAUCAGCCAGAGCGUAUGGGGACUCUCUCUCUUGUCACACGCCCGCGGCGCGGACCGACGCCUGUCGACCUUUAUUCAUCUUCUCUCGGUUGACCUCGGAUCAGGUAGGGAUACCCGCUGAACUUAAGC